rnacentral:rRNA from 1 species
AUUGAACGCUGGCGGCAUGCCUUACACAUGCAAGUCGAACGGCAGCAUGGAGGAGCUUGCUCCUCUGAUGGCGAGUGGCGAACGGGUGAGUAAAGCAUCGGAAACGUACCGUGUAGUGGGGGAUAACGUAGCGAAAGUUACGCUAAUACCGCAUACGCACUGAGGUGGAAAGCAGGGGGAUCGCAAGACCUUGCGCUAUACGAGCGGCCGAUGUCAGAUUAGCUAGUUGGUAGGGUAAAGGCCUACCAAGGCGACGAUCUGUAGCGGGUCUGAGAGGAUGAUCCGCCACACUGGGACUGAGACACGGCCCAGACUCCUACGGGAGGCAGCAGUGGGGAAUUUUGGACAAUGGGCGAAAGCCUGAUCCAGCCAUGCCGCGUGAGUGAAGAAGGCCUUCGGGUUGUAAAGCUCUUUCGGCCGGGAAGAAAUCGUAUGGGUUAAUACCCUGUGCGGAUGACGGUACCGGCAUAAGAAGCACCGGCUAACUACGUG